rnacentral:rRNA from 1 species
UACGGAGGGUGCAAACGUUGCUCGGAAUCAUUGGGCGUAAAGCGCACGUAGGCGGCCGACUAAGUCGGGUGUGAAAGCCCUGGGCUCAACCCAGGAAGUGCACUCGAAACUGACCGGCUUGAAUAUGGAAGAGGGUUGCGGAAUUCCCGGUGUAGAGGUGAAAUUCGUAGAUAUCGGGAGGAACACCAGUGGCGAAGGCGGCAACCUGGGCCGAAUAUUGACGCUGAGGUGCGAAAGCGUGGGGAGCAAACAGG